AAUAGUAUUUAUUAAAUAUAUAUUUUAAUUAUAUUACUUUUUUUAGAAAUAACUUUUUUAAUAGUAUAUUUUAUAGAAAUUAAUUGUUUUAUUGAUAGUUUAUUUUACUGUAAAGGUUAAGAUUAAUUAUAUUAUAAGUAGUUUUAGUUUAUUGUACCUUUUGCAUCAGGGUUUAUUAAUUUAAAUUUUAUUAUAAUAAAUUUUCCCGAAUUUAAAAGAGAUACUUUAUAUUUGUGUUUUAUUGUGAUAAAAAUAUUAAAAAAAUUAAGGUAGGGGAGAUAUUCUAUUCAUUUUUAAUGUUAUCUGGUUUUUUAAUAAUUGAAUUUAAUUCAGGUUUAGGUUAGGAUAAUAUUUAAUUAUAUUAAUUUUAUUUCCACUAGACUAAAAUAGUUAGGGAUAAGCUUAGCUAUUAUUUUAUAAUUUAUAUUGUGAUUAAUUUAUAUAGGUUUAGAAACAUCCAUUUAUAUUUCGUAACAGUUAUAAUUAAUUUAUUUAUUUAUUUAUUAAUAAAUUUAAUUUAUUAUUAAAAUUUUUGAUUUAAUAAGUUAUUUAAAGUAAUAAUGAUAAAAUUAGUAAUUUAUAAAAUUAAUGUAUAGGAACUCGGCAAUAUUUAUGUUUGCCUGUUUAUCAAAAACAUGUCUUGAAUGUUAUAUAUUUCAAGUCUGACCUGCUCAAUGAUUUAUUUAUUAAAUAGCCGCAGUAUUUUGACUGUGCGAAGGUAGCAUAAUCAUUUGCCUUUUAAUUGAAGGCUUGUAUGAAUGGUUUGACAAAAUGUAAUCUUUCUUUACAUUAUAUUAUUGAAUUUAAUUUUUAAGUUAAAAAGCUUAAAUUUAUUUAGUAGGACGAGAAGACCCUAUAGAAUUUUAUUUAUUUAUUAUUAUUAUAUUAUUUGUAUAAUUUGAUAUUUUAAUAUUGAGUAAAUUUUAUUGGGGCGAUAGGGAAAUUUUAUUAACUUUCUUUUAAUAUUAUUUAUUAAUUUGUAUAUUAAUGAUCCUAUUUAUGGAUAAUAAGAUUAAAUUACCUUAGGGAUAACAGCGUAAUUCCUUUUGAGAGUUCAUAUUGGUGAAGGAGUUUGCGACCUCGAUGUUGGAUUAAAAUAAGUAUAGGGUGCAGUAGCUCUAUUACUAGGUCUGUUCGACCUUUAAAUUUUUACAUGAUCUGAGUUCAGAUCGGCGUGAGCCAGAUUGGUUUCUAUCCUCUAUAUUUUAAUUUCACUUUAGUACGAAAGGACCAAGUGUUAAUUUAGAUUAAAUUUUAUUAAUUGAUUAAUUAUUAA
rnacentral:rRNA from 1 species